rnacentral:rRNA from 1 species
GAUGAACGCUAGCGGGAGGCUUAACACAUGCAAGUCGAGGGGCAGCAUAGGGUAGCAAUACUCUGAUGGCGACCGGCAAACGGGUGAGUAACGCGUAUGCAACCUACCCUGUACAGGGGGAUAACCCGGAGAAAUUCGGACUAAUAUCCCGUAAUAAUAUCCGGAGGCAUCUUUGGAUAUUUAAAGUUCCGACGGUACGGGAUGGGCAUGCGUAACAUUAACUGGUUGGUAAGGUAACGGCUUACCAAGGCUAUGAUGUUUAGGGGUCCUGAGAGGGUGGUCCCCCACACUGGUACUGAGACACGGACCAGACUCCUACGGGAGGCAGCAGUGAGGAAUAUUGGUCAAUGGGCGCAAGCCUGAACCAGCCAUCCCGCGUGCAGGAAGACGGCCUAUGGGUUGUAAACUGCUUUUCCAGGGAGAGAAACUUACGCACGUGUUGCGUGACUGACGGUACCUGGGAAUAAGCAUCGGCUAACUCCGUG